rnacentral:lncRNA from 1 species
AAGAGCGCCACAACUCAAAUUAGUGCAAGAAAACAAAAGAGAAGGAAAAGAGUGCAGAAGAAGAAAAAGAAGCUCUCUGUAAAGAAGAAUCUGAUUUCAUUGAUUAAAUAGUUUUUAAGUACAAGAGAACAAAGAAAAGUCACCACAAAGAAAAAAUAUAAAAUUAGAGGUUUCAGAUCUCUGGGACAGAAGUGGAGGAGCUCGGCGCCCUUGGAAGGUCGGU